GGCUAAUACCGGAUAACACAUGAAACCGCAUGGUUUCAUGAUGAAGACGGUUUUGCUGUCACUUAUAGAUGGACCCGCGGCGUAUUAGCUAGUUGGUAAGGUAACGGCUUACCAAGGCAACGAUACGUAGCCGACCUGAGAGGGUGAUCGGCCACACUGGAACUGAGACACGGUCCAG
rnacentral:rRNA from 1 species